rnacentral:rRNA from 1 species
UACGGAGGGCGCAAGCGUUGUUCGGAAUCACUGGGCGUAAAGCGCGUGUAGGCGGCUUGGCAAGGCGGGUGUGAAAUCCCGAGGCUCAACCUCGGAACUGCACUCGAAACUGCCUGGCUCGAGUCCCGGAGAGGGUGGCGGAAGUCCCGGUGUAGGGGUGAAAUCCGUAGAUAUCGGGAGGAACACCAGUGGCGAAGGCGGCCACCUGGACGGUGACUGACGCUGAGACGCGAAAGCGUGGGGAGCAAACAGG